AUUGAACGCUGGCGGCAGGCUUAACACAUGCAAGUCGAACGACUUGCGUACGGUUGAUUAAUGCUUGGGAAUCUAGCUUAUGGAGGGGGAUAACUACGGGAAACUGUAGCUAAUACCGCGUACCAUACGAUGAGCCCAAGUGGGAUUAGGUAGUUGGUGAGGUAAAGGCUCACCAAGCCGACGAUCUCUAGCUGGUCUGAGAGGAUGACCAGCAACAGUGUGACUGGGACACGCUCCAGAUUCCGAAGGGAGGCAGAGGUGGGGAAUAUUGCGGAAGUGGGGCAACCUGAAGUAGCCAUGCCGGGUGAAUGAAGAAGGCCUUCGGUUUGUAAAGUACUUUAGGUAGAGAGGCGUUAACUAAAGAAGAAGCACCGGCUAACUCCGUGCCAGCAGCCGCGGUAAUAC
rnacentral:rRNA from 1 species